UUGUUUUACCAAAAAAUACUCACGCUUAUCGUCACGUUUGGUAGGGUGCUGGCUCACAUGGGUUAGUUACUAAUCGGGAUAAGUGGAGGCUCAAC
rnacentral:sRNA from 1 species